rnacentral:lncRNA from 1 species
GGGGAGGGGAGGCCCCAAUCUCCCAGUCUUCCCCUGAAAAUUUCCCUUGUCUCAAUCGCAUCAGACUGACUGCCUUUGUCUGGAUGACAACCGCCAUAUUGAUAUCAAUAAGUUUAUCCUUUUUGAUAGUACACUAGUAUUCCAUGCUAAACAGCUUGCUGCCCUGGCUCCUCCCCACAGUGCUGUCCUCUCCAUCAUCUCCUACUCCCACACCCAUCACUGCAGGGACCUGCUGACCCUGCUUGUUUCCACACCUCACCACCAUCCAUCCCCACUGGUUGGCUUCAUACCACAAAUUACUAAAUACUUCCGCUGUAAGUCCUGACUAAAAAUUAUCUUUAAAAGAGAACUUCACAGGCAUCUUGAUU